rnacentral:lncRNA from 1 species
ACAGAAAAGAAGAAAAGAAAAAACACUACCCAUACAAAUUAUCAUUGGACUCUGAUUCUUUAUACCCGAAAGUCCCUCUACAAUCAAAGAUCAGUCUUCCUGCUUCCACUUGCCAUCAUCUCCUUGCUCUCUACCUCUCCCGCCUCUAGUUGUCACAUUCCAUUCCCUACAAAAUCUCUCUCUUGCUCUCUCUCUUUUUCUUUUUCUUUUUCUUUCUCCUCCUCUCAUAUUCCUCUAUCGAAAUCUUGUGCUCAUCUUCAUUUUUCAUUCUUGAAUUUAAU